rnacentral:rRNA from 1 species
ACACAUGCAAGUCGAGCGGUAAGGCCUUUCGGGGUACACGAGCGGCGAACGGGUGAGUAACACGUGGGUGAUCUGCCCUGCACUCUGGGAUAAGCUUGGGAAACUGGGUCUAAUACCGGAUAUGACCACAGCAUGCAUGUGUUGUGGUGGAAAGAUUUAUCGGUGCAGGAUGGGCCCGCGGCCUAUCAGCUUGUUGGUGGGGUAAUGGCCUACCAAGGCGACGACGGGUAGCCGACCUGAGAGGGUGACCGGCCACACUGGGACUGAGACACGGCCCAGACUCCUACGGGAGGCAGCAGUGGGGAAUAUUGCACAAUGGGCGGAAGCCUGAUGCAGCGACGCCGCGUGAGGGAUGAAGGCCUUCGGGUUGUAAACCUCUUUCAGCAGGGACGAAGCGUGAGUGACGGUACCUGCAGAAGAAGCACCGGCUAACUACGUGCCAGCAGCCGCGGUAAUACGUAGGGUGCGAGCGUUGUCCGGAAUUACUGGGCGUAAAGAGUUCGUAGGCGGUUUGUCGCGUCGUUUGUGAAAACCCGGGGCUCAACUUCGGGCUUGCAGGCGAUACGGGCAGACUUGAGUGUUUCAGGGGAGACUGGAAUUCCUGGUGUAGCGGUGAAAUGCGCAGAUAUCAGGAGGAACACCGGUGGCGAAGGCGGGUCUCUGGGAAACAACUGACGCUGAGGAACGAAAGCGUGGGUAGCAAACAGGAUUAGAUACCCUGGUAGUCCACGCCGUAAACGGUGGGCGCUAGGUGUGGGUUCCUUCCACGGGAUCUGUGCCGUAGCUAACGCAUUAAGCGCCCCGCCUGGGGAGUACGGCCGCAAGGCUAAAACUCAAAGGAAUUGACGGGGGCCCGCACAAGCGGCGGAGCAUGUGGAUUAAUUCGAUGCAACGCGAAGAACCUUACCUGGGUUUGACAUACACCGGAAAACCGUAGAGAUACGGUCCCCCUUGUGGUCGGUGUACAGGUGGUGCAUGGCUGUCGUCAGCUCGAAUCGUGAGAUGUUGGGUUAAGUCCCGCAACGAGCGCAACCCUUGUCUUAUGUUGCCAGCACGUAAUGAAAGGGGACUCGUAAGAGACUGCCGGGGUCAACUCGGAGGAAGGUGGGGACGACGUCAAGUCAUCAUGCCCCUUAUGUCCAGGGCUUCACACAUGCUACAAUGGCCAGUACAGAGGGCUGCGAGACCGUGAGGUGGAGCGAAUCCCUUAAAGCUGGUAAACAGUUCGGAUCGGGGUCUGCAACUCGACCCCGUGAAGUCGGAGUCGCUAGUAAUCGCAGAUCAGCAAUGCUGCGGUGAAUACGUUCCCGGGCCUUGUACACACCCCCCGUCACGUCAUGAAAGUCGGUAACACCCGAAGCCGGUGGCCUAACCCCUUACGUGGAGGGAGCCGUCGA